UGGGGAAUAUUGCACAAUGGGCGCAAGCCUGAUGCAGCAACGCCGCGUGAACGAUGAAGGUCUUCGGGUCGUAAAGUUCUGUUGCAGGGGAAGAUAAUGACGGUACCCUGUGAGGAAGCCCCGGCUAACUACGUGCCAGCAGCCGCGGUAAUACGUAGGGGGCUAGCGUUAUCCGGAUUUACUGGGCGUAAAGGGUGCGUAGGUGGUCUUUCAAGUCGGUGGUUAAAGGCUACGGCUCAACCGUAGUUAGCCUCCGAAACUGGAAGACUUGAGUGCAGGAGAGGAAAGUGGAAUUCCCAGUGUAGCGGUGAAAUGCGUAGAUAUUGGGAGGAACACCAGUAGCGAAGGCGGCUUUCUGGACUGCAACUGACACUGAGGCACGAAAGCGUGGGUAGCAAACAGG
rnacentral:rRNA from 1 species